rnacentral:rRNA from 1 species
UGGGGAAUAUUGCACAAUGGGCGCAAGCCUGAUGCAGCCAUGCCGCGUGUAUGAAGAAGGCCUUCGGGUUGUAAAGUACUUUCAGCGAGGAGGAAGGCGGUAAGGUUAAUAACCUUAUCGAUUGACGUUACUCGCAGAAGAAGCACCGGCUAACUCCGUGCCAGCAGCCGCGGUAAUACGGAGGGAGCAAGCGUUAAGCGGAAUUACUGGGCGUAAAGCGCACGCAGGCGGUCUGUCAAGUCGGAUGUGAAAUCCCCGGGCUCAACCUGGGAACUGCAUUCGAAACUGGCAGGCUAGAGUCUUGUAGAGGGGGGUAGAAAUCCAGGUGUAGCGGUGAAAUGCGUAGAGAUCUGGAGGAAUACCGGUGGCGAAGGCGGCCCCCUGGACAAAGACUGACGCUCAGGUGCGAAAGCGUGGGGAGCAAACA